CAAACUGUUUUACUUCACAUUGUAUUUUCAGGGAACUUAAAAUGUAAAGUCAUCCUCAGUACAUUGUGCAGAAAAUGGGUGCAUUAACCUCUGCUCUGGAUCAUGCUGCUGUCACAGCACCGUGCCCCUGCUCACAAACAGGAUGUCACCUCCCUGCCCUUGCCUCCUGUAGGAGAUGGGUGCGGCCAUCUGCCAAGCAUUUUACAGACUCAGAACAGAACUGCUUAAGAGCUGAACAUGAAGAAUCCUCUGGAUAGCUGAAUUUGGAAUCGACCACUGCUUUUCAAGAGGUCUGUGAAUGGGCUGGAGAAAGCCUUGAUGAGAGCAAUCAUGCAACUUGAAAAUACAGCCUGUGAGGAAGGCUUGAAAGGAUUCGGUAUAUUUAACCUGGAUAAGAGAAGGCAGAGAGGAGACAUGGCCACAAAUACAUGGAAGACUGAAGCAAAGAGAGAAGAAAUAAACUGCUGGAGAGGACAAAAUGUUGUGAGCUUACACUACAGCUGAGGAGACAGAGCAGACAUCAGGAAGCCUUUCUCAUUGCCAAUAAUCUACUUUUAAAAGAAGAAUAAGAACUGUUAUGCAACAAAGUCACAGCGGUGAGCAACUUGAUGGGAUAUAAAUGAGGGAGACAAUCAAAAAAAGCCAGAUGGCAUAAGCCAGUAAUGGCCAAAUAAUUCAUCAUUCCACAGACUUGCGAUGGACUGGCCCCCAAAUGAGGCCUGGAAUGUUGGAAAUCUUUUCAUGCUGCUACAGGAGACAGCCGCACCGACUGGCUCAUGCUGAGACACCCUUCUCAGGUACUUGUGAAAUCAAGUGUUAUUUCAAGUAAGCCCAACUACAUAAUUUUUGAUGUUGUUUGUAUUAUUUCCAUUUUUUUGAUUAAAGCUGUUAGCCAGAGUGGAGAUUAAUGGGUUGCCUGUGUUAGAAGACAAUUACACGAUGAUGCUAAGCAUUCCUUUGAUGAAGUCCUGUUUGCUUAUGAAGUAUGGAAAAAUAUUCUUUCCAAAAGUAUUGGAUUAAAUGAACCACAGAUUUUUGUGCACAGUACUUAGGCCAAAGCCAAUAUUUUCACCAAAAGGCUUUCUCAAAUUUUUCUCAUGUCAACAGCCUAAAAUGCAGUUUUCGUUUCUCACCCUGUGUCCCUAGUAUAUGCAUGUUUGCUUCUUUUCUCUCACACAAAUGCAAA